CCUACGGGUGACUGCAGUGGGGAAUAUUGGACAAUGGAGGCAACUCUGACCCAGCAACGCCGCGUGAAUGAUGAAGGUCUUCGGAUUGUAAAGUUCUUUUCUAAGGGAAGAAGAAAGUGACGGUACCUUAGGAAUAAGCCUCGGCUAACUACAUGCCAGCAGCCGCGGUAAUACGUAGGAGGCAAGCGUUAUCCGGAAUGACUGGGCGUAAAGGGUGCGUAGGUGGUUUGACAAGUUAGUAGCGCAACUCCGGGGCUCACCUUCGGAACUACUACUAAAACUGUUGGACUUGAGUGCAGGAGGGGCAAUCGGAAUUCCUGGUGUAGCGGUGGAAUGCGUAGAUAUUAGGUGGAACACCAGUGGCGAAGGCGGAUUGCUGGACUGUAACUGACACUGAGGCACGAAAGCGUGGGGAGCAAACAGGAUUAGAUACCCUAGUAGUC
rnacentral:rRNA from 1 species